GGAAGGAUGGCCGAGUGGUUAUGGCGUGUGACUCAAGUUCUCAUGGGCUUUGCCCGCGGGGGUUCGAAUCCCCCUCCUUUCA
rnacentral:tRNA from 1 species